rnacentral:rRNA from 1 species
ACUCCUACGGGAGGCAGCAGUGGGAAUGAUUGCACAAUGGGGAACCCUGAUGCAGCCAUGCCGCGUGUGUGAAGAAGGCCUUCGGGUUGUAAAGCACUUUCAGAGGGAGGAAGGUAGUGUAGUUAACACCUGCAUUAUUUGACGUUACCUACAGAAGAAGCACCGGCUAACUCCGUGCCAGCAGCCGCGGUAAUACGGAGGGUGCGAGCGUUAAUCGGAAUUACUGGGCGUAAAGCGCAUGCAGGCGGCCUGUUAAGUCAGAUGUGAAAGCCCGGGGCUUAACCUCGGAAUUGCAUUUGAAACUGGCAGGCUAGAGUCUUGUAGAGGGGGGUAGAAUUUCAGGUGUAGCGGUGAAAUGCGUAGAGAUCUGAAGGAAUACCAGUGGCGAAGGCGGCCCCUGGA